rnacentral:rRNA from 1 species
AGAGUUUGAUCCUGGCUCAGAACGAACGCUGGCGGCAGGCCUCAUACAUGCAAGUCGCACGAUUAAAGCUCUCUUCGGAGAGUGUAUAAAGUGGCAAACGGGUGAGUAACAGGUGGAUAAUCUGCCCUUUGGCGGGGGAUAACGGUUGGAAACGACCGCUAGUACCGCAUGUGAUUGCUUUUUCAUCGGGAGAAGCAAGGAAAGGCGCUUCACGGCGCCGCCAAAGGAUGAGUCCGCCCCCCGUUGCUAGUUGGUAAGGUAACGGCUUACCUAGGCUCCGAUGGGUAGCCGAGCUGAGAGGUUGAUCGGCCACACUGGGACUGAGAUACGGCCCAGACACCUACGGGUGGCAGCAGUAGGGAAUAUUGCGCAAUGGACGAAAGUCUGACGCAGCCAUGCCGCGUGAGUGAUGAAGGCCUUCGGGUCGUAAAGCUCUUUUCUGAGGGAAGAACAUCCAGAACAGGAAAUGGUUCUGGCUUGACGGUACCUCAGGAAUAAGGAGCGGCUAACUCCGUGCCAGCAGCCGCGGUAAUACGGAGGCUCCUAGCGUUGUUCGGAAUUACUGGGCGUAAAGGGAGCGCAGGCGGAGUGAUCAGUCUGAAGUGGAAGUCCGGGGCUCAACCUCGGAAGUGCUUCGGAUACUGUCACUCUUGAGAUCGUGAGAGGAAAGCGGAAUUCAGGGUGUAGCGGUGAAAUGCUUAGAUAUCCUGAGGAACACCAAUGGCGAAAGCAGCUUUCUGGCACUGAUCUGACGCUGAGGCUCGAAAGCGUGGGUAGCGAACGGGAUUAGAUACCCCGGUAGUCCACGCCGUAAACGUUGUCAACUAGGUGCGAGAGGUAUCGACCCCUUUCGUGCCGCAGCUAACGCAUUAAGUUGACCGCCUGGGGAGUACGCGCGCAAGCGUGAAACUCAAAGGAAUUGACGGGGGCCCGCACAAGCGGUGGAGCAUGUGGUUUAAUUCGAGGCAACGCGAAGAACCUUACCCAGGCUUGACAUCCCGUGACCGCCAUGGAAACAUGGUUUUCUCUUCGGAGACACGGUGACAGGUGUUGCAUGGCUGUCGUCAGCUCGUGUCGUGAGAUGUUGGGUUAAGUCCCGCAACGAGCGCAACCCCUGUCCUUAGUUACCAGCACGUUAUGGUGGGCACUCUAAGGAGACUGCCGGUGAUAAGCCGGAGGAAGGUGGGGACGACGUCAAGUCAUCAUGGCCCUUACGCCUGGGGCCACACACGUGCUACAAUGGCCGGUACAAUGAGUUGCAAUACCGCGAGGUGGAGCGAAUCUCAAAAAGCCGGUCUCAGUUCGGAUAGGAGUCUGCAAUUCGACUCCUUGAAGUCGGAAUCGCUAGUAAUCGCGUAUCAGCUACGACGCGGUGAAUACGUUCCCGGGCCUUGUACACACCGCCCGUCACAUGACCCGAGUCGGGUGCACCCG